AGAUAUACUAUUGACGUAUACAUAUAUGUACAUACGUUCUUACAUAUGUACAUAUGUUCUUACUACACGAAUUUGUGUGCCACGAAUGAUUCAUUUGACAAUAUUAAGUACAUUUAUUAUUUAUUGGACUGCUACAAUUUCGGAAGUGGCAUCAGCGCUAGCUCCUUUUAGUGGAUUUAAAUGGAAAUAAAAAAUCCAUACGGCCAGGGUAGAAAUAUUGGCAAGCGUAUAUUUGUCUUCGUUUUGCCAAUUCUAGACUUAAUAUUGUAAUUCUACAACACACAAGCAACCAGCUCUGGGUAUAUUAAUAGCUCCGAAAGUGGAGCCUUUGCCCUGAUAAGUCGUGGACAAUCUAUUGUUGUGACAAGACAAACAAUCAUUCAGAUGGAGUUUUCCCAGGUCGUUGGAGUUUUGAUUGCAGUUGCUGGCUGUCAUUGAUCAAGUUUUUACACUAUUGGAAGCUAUGGAAGCCAAGCUGACGGUACCCGUCUAACUCGCCGCAAUGUAGCAGGAAGCCAGCCUCGCCUCUCACCGCAAUUUUCAUCUACAUGUUGUGGAUUCUGUCCAUACAAUUUUUGGGCGCUCAAUCCCCAAUCGCGCUUAAUCAUGGAAUGCAUCCAGUAUCAGUAUAUGUAUAAGAACAUUCCAUAUUCCAGUCCUUAUUCCGACUAAA